GACGAACGCUGGCGGCAUGCCUUACACAUGCAAGUCGAACGGACCUAGCAAUAGGUUAGUGGCGAACGGGUGAGUAAUACAUGAGCAACCUGCCUCAAACAGGGGGAUAACACCGGGAAACUGGUGCUAAUACCGCAUAAGACCACAGCGCGGCAUCGCGCAGGGGUAAAAACGAUUCAGUGGUUUGAGAUGGGCUCAUGUCCCAUUAGCUAGUUGGUGAGAUAACAGCCCACCAAGGCGACGAUGGGUAGCCGACCUGAGAGGGUGAUCGGCCACAUUGGGACUGAGACACGGCCCAGACUCCUACGGGAGGCAGCAGUGGGGAAUAUUGGGCAAUGGGCGAAAGCCUGAACCAGCCAUGCCGCGUGAAGGAAUAAGGCCCUAUGGGUCGUAAACAUCUUUUGACGGGGAGCAAUAAGGUCUACGUGUAGGCCGAUGAGAGUACUCGUCGAAUAAGCAUCGGCUAACUCCGUGCCAGCAGCCGCGGUAAUACGGAGGAUGCGAGCGUUAUCCGGAAUUAUUGGGUUUAAAGGGUGCGUAGGCUGUUUGUUAAGUCAGGGGUGAAAUACCGCAGCUCAACUGUGGAAUUGCCGUUGAUACUGUACAUCUGGAAUGCUCUUGCCGUGGGAGGAAUGAGUAGUGUAGCGGUGAAAUGCAUAGAUAUUACUCAGAACACCGAUUGCGAAGGCAUCUCACGAAGGGGCGAUUGACGCUGAGGCACGAAAGCGUGGGUAUCGAACAGG
rnacentral:rRNA from 1 species